GUUCCUACGGGACGCAGCAGUGGGGAAUAUUGCACAAUGGGGGAAACCCUGAUGCAGCAACGCCGCGUGAAGGAAGACGGUUUUCGGAUUGUAAACUUCUGUUCUUAGUGAAGAAAAAUGACGGUAGCUAAGGAGCAAGCCACGGCUAACUACGUGCCAGCAGCCGCGGUAAUACGUAGGUGGCAAGCGUUGUCCGGAAUUACUGGGCGUAAAGGGAGCGCAGGCGGCGCGCCAAGUCUGAUGUGAAACCCCGGGGCUCAACCCCGGGCAUGCAUUGGAAACUGGCGGGCUGGAGUGCCGGAGAG
rnacentral:rRNA from 1 species